GCCGGGUGUGGUGGCACAUGCCUGUAAUUCUAGCAACUUGGGAGGCUGAGGAGGCAGGAGGAUAGCAAGCUCAGUCUGGACAACUUUGUAAGACCCUGUCUCAA
rnacentral:sRNA from 1 species